UACAGAGGGUGCAAGCGUUAAUCGGAAUUACUGGGCGUAAAGCGUGCGUAGACGGUCAUGUAAGUCGGGUGUGAAAGCCCCGGGCUCAACCUGGGAAUUGCAUUCGAGACUGCAUGGCUAGGGUGCGGAAGAGGGAAGCGGAAUUUCCGGUGUAGCGGUGGAAUGCGUAGAGAUCUGGAAGAACACCGGUGGCGAAGGCGGUGGUCUGGGCCAUUACUGACGCUGAGGAGCGAAAGCCAGGGGAGCGAACGGG
rnacentral:rRNA from 1 species